GACGAACGCUGGCGGCGUGCUUAACACAUGCAAGUCGAACGGGUCUGCCCUGUUUUUUGCGGGGUGGGUCAGUGGCGAACGGGUGAGUAACACGUGAGUAACCUGCCCCUCACUUCUGGGUAACCGCUUGAAAGGGUGCUAAUACGGGGUGUUCUGGCUGUGCCGCAUGGUGUGGCUGGGAAAGAUUCACUUUUGUGGUGUUUUGGUGGGGGAUGGGCUCGCUGCCUAUCCGCUUGUUGGUGGGGUGAAGGCCUGCCCAGGGUAUGACGGGUAGCCGGCCUGCGGGGGUGGGCGGUCAGAGUGGGACUGAGGCACAGCCAAAGCUUCAGUGGGAGGCAGCAGUGAGGGGUAGUGCACAAUGGGCAGAAGCCUGAUGCAGCGACGUCGCGUGAGGGAUGGAGGCCUUCGGGUUGUGAACCUCUUUCGUCGGUGAAGAAGGUCCUUCAUUUCGUGGUGGGGUUGACGGUAGCCGGGUGAUGAAGCUCCGGCUAACUACGUG
rnacentral:rRNA from 1 species